rnacentral:rRNA from 1 species
UUGCUCUUCAACGAGGAAUGCCUAGUAAGCGCAUGUCAUCAGCAUGCGUUGAUUACGUCCCUGCCCUUUGUACACACCGCCCGUCGCUACUACCGAUUGAAUGGCUCGGUGAGGCCUUCGGACUGGCCCAGGGAGGUCGGCAACGACCACCCAGGGCCGGAAAGUUGGUCAAACCCGGUCAUUUAGAGGAAGUAAAAGUCGUAACAAGGUCUCCGUAGGUGAACCUGCGGAGGGAUCAUUACAAGUGACCCCCGGCUCCGGCCGGGGAUGUUCAUAACCCUUUGUUGUCCGACUCUGUUGCCUCCGGGGCGACCCUGCCUUUUCACGGGCGGGGGCCCCGGGUGGACACAUCAAAACUCUUGCGUAACUUUGCAGUCUGAGUAAAUUUAAUUAAUAAAUUAAAACUUUCAACAACGGAUCUCUUGGUUCUGGCAUCGAUGAAGAACGCAGCGAAAUGCGAUAAGUAAUGUGAAUUGCAGAAUUCAGUGAAUCAUCGAAUCUUUGAACGCACAUUGCGCCCCCUGGUAUUCCGGGGGGCAUGCCUGUUCGAGCGUCAUUUCACCACUCAAGCCUCGCUUGGUAUUGGGCGACGCGGUCCGCCGCGCGCCUCAAAUCGACCGGCUGGGUCUUCUGUCCCCUCAGCGUUGUGGAAACUAUUCGCUAAAGGGUGCCACGGGAGGCCACGCCGAAAAACAAACCCAUUUCUAAGGUUGACCUCGGAUCAGGUAGGGAUACCCGCUGAACUUAAGCAUAUCAAUAAGCGGAGGA